AAAGCAGAUCGGGUGAUCGCCGGUCCGUGACGAACGGAUCGGAGGAAAGUCCGAGCUCCGCAGGGCAGGAUGGUCGCUAACGGCGACUGGGGGUGACCCUAAGGAAAGUGCCACAGAAAACAUACCGC
rnacentral:RNase_P_RNA from 1 species